rnacentral:lncRNA from 1 species
AAAUGAACCUAAUCAAAUUAGGAGCUCAAUUAUCUCAUUAAAUUCCAAACCCAAUUAGAAAUUAGCUGAGUCUAAGUCCUAAUCGAAUCAGGAUCAAAUUUUUCUUAUAAAUAGGCUUGAUCAUAUCAAACCCAAUCUAAGUUGAACUGAAUCUAAUUCAAUUAGAUGUGAUUCAAAGCUCUUUACUCAAUCAAAUUAAGUUAAUUAAUAAUCUAAUUACUAAUUAAUUUUUUAUUAAUAGUAGAGUCACAGUCUAAUGAGACACUCUUUCAGAGUUUCAAUCCCAGUAGGACUCCUCACCAGUGUCUCAAUCCAAUUAGACUCUUCAGCCA